rfam:Felis catus isolate Cinnamon breed Abyssinian chromosome D4, whole genome shotgun sequence.
GCCUGGGUGGCUCAGUCGGUUGAGCAUCCGACUUCAGCUCAGGUCAUGAUCUCGCAGUCUGAGUUCGAGCCCCAGGUCGGGCU